UCUUUCCUUUUUUUUCUUUUCUCUUUCCUUUUCUCCUUUCCUAUACCUUCAUAGAUGUUCAAGUGCAAAAGAGGAAACAUACCUCCUUUUGUUUUGAUCUGCUUUUAGUUUGUUUUGCUAGCCCUCUUCCAGCAAAAAUGGAACUCAUGUGGAGCCCUUCUGAGCUGCAUUUUCACUGGCAGAGGC